CGGACGGGUGAGUAACGCGUGGGUAACCUACCCUGUACACACAGAUAACAUACCGAAAGGUAUGCUAAUACGGGAUAAUAUAUUUGAGAGGCAUCUCUUGAAUAUCAAAGGUGAGCCAGUACAGGAUGGACCCGCGUCUGAUUAGCUAGUUGGUAAGGUAACGGCCUACCAAGGCGACGAUCAGUAGCCGACCUGAGAGGGUGAUCGGCCACAUUGGAACUGAGACACGGUCCAA
rnacentral:rRNA from 1 species